rnacentral:rRNA from 1 species
UACGAAGGGGGCUAGCGUUGUUCGGAUUUACUGGGCGUAAAGCGCUCGUAGGCGGAUCGUUCAGUCAGGUGUGAAAUCCCAGAGCUCAACUCUGGAACUGCCUUUGAUACUGUCGAUCUGGAGUAUGGAAGAGGUGAGUGGAAUUCCGAGUGUAGAGGUGAAAUUCGUAGAUAUUCGGAGGAACACCAGUGGCGAAGGCGGCUCUCUGGUCCAUUACUGACGCUGAGGUGCGAAAGCGUGGGGAGCAAACAGG